CCCAGACUCCUACGGGAGGCAGCAGUGGGGGAUAUUGCACAAUGGGGGAAACCCUGAUGCAGCGACGCCGCGUGAGUGAAGAAGUAUUUCGGUAUGUAAAGCUCUAUCAGCAGGGAAGAAAAAAGACGGUACCUGACUAAGAAGCCCCGGCUAACUACGUGCCAGCAGCCGCGGUAAUACGUAGGGGGCAAGCGUUAUCCGGAUUUACUGGGUGUAAAGGGAGCGUAGACGGCAAUACAAGUCGGAAGUGAAAUACCCGGGCUCAACCUGGGAACUGCUUUGGAAAUUGUAUGGCUGGAGUGCUGGAGAGGUAAGCGGAAUUCCUAGUGUAGCGGUGAAAUGCGUAGAUAUUAGGAGGAACACCAGUGGCGAAGGCGGCUUACUGGACAGUAACUGACGUUGAGGCUCGAAAGCGUGGGGAGCAAACAGGAUUAGAUACCCUCGUAGU
rnacentral:rRNA from 1 species